ACACACACACACACCCUCACACUGUCAGCUGUUGCCCAGCUGAAUCCUAAAAUUGUUAACAAUGUUUAAUAAUUUGUUAAAAAAAAAAGAAAUUAAGCUUUGGAAUGUAUUCGCUUGUGUAGUUAGAUGAUAAUAAUAAUCGAGUUGACAAAAUCCACUUUUAGCAGAUUAGCAUUUAAAUGUACAUUCUGUCUCUUUGUAGGAAAACAAAACCAAAAAUACUGAAGAUGACUCGUCACUGCACAGAUUUUUGACCAAUCAGAUGCUCUUUAGAAUGGAAAUGUCCCACCUAAUGCCAUAAGCAACCAACUAGUGAAUCAAGUUCAUUGCUGCCACCACUUAAAAAAAAAUAAACAAAAAAUGCACCAUUUUAUAUAUUCUAUCUAAACUUCCUGUUUCGACAGUAAAUUUGUCAACACAUGAACAGAACAUUGAGUUUAUCAAGUGUUAUUAGGGGGUUAUGUAUCUAAUAUGCAACUUCAUACUUUAUUGGCCUGUCAUGAAACGUUUUUUCAAGCAUUAAGCAACAGUGAUUUUUCCCACUGGAACAGCUGAAUGUCCUGUGAUGGGAUUCGCUUUUGAUGAUUCUGGUUGACUCUAGUUAAGAUCAAUUUACCGACCUCCUGAAAAUGUGGCGAGAUAAGCCAACAAGAAGAACAAAUGACAAAUGCUAUUGAUCGCCACAGCAGGAAUUUGGAAAAAUGCAACAACAGAGAAAAGGAAGAAAAACUGGAAAUGCAAUGGCUAAGCUCUGUUUAGAAUCCCACUUUUAAGAAGCAUGCUAGAAGAGAGAUUAACUCAGGCAAAAAAAAAAAAAAAAGGAAAGAAAAUCUAAUUUAGUGGAAAGCUACGGUCGGACUGUUUGAAAGACAGAGGAGCAGUGGUGUGUUGUUGAUGAUCAUCCCAGCUUGAUUCAGCACUCCAUCUGUGCUCUCGGCCGUGAAAAGCAGCUCUCGCUUGAUACCUUUUAGAUGCUGCUCAGCAGAUAAAAAAAUACCUUUUGUCCCUCUUUGUCUGAAAUCCGGAGGGUCUGGAGAUUUUCCUGGCUUCCCACUGAGUCGCUUAGGAUUUCCUCGGCUAUUUGUCCAUUGUCUGCACACCAAGCAUUAAAUAUUCCUCCUGGAAGUAGUUUUUUUUUUUUUUCAGCUGUAAAGGUUAAAGAGUACAUCGGCAUCUGUCAGCCUCACCUGUGGGUCAGAGAAAUGCUGAAGAUGUUUUUCCAAAGGGGUCUGACCCGGGAAGUUCAAAGACCCUCACGGUGACGUCCCAGUGAACAAAGCUGGAUUGUGGGAAAGCGUGGGCAUUGGCGGCUCGGUCACACACGCUAGUCGAGCUCCCUGUCUGAGCAAGCGUUCCGCCCGAGUCGUUUUUGGACAGGAUUUUUUUUUUUUUCUAAUUUCAUUUGCAUAAUCCUUCACUAAACACCCCCCAAACACACACACACUUUCACUCCGCACACACACACACAUCUAUUGGACCGUGUUCGCUAUAAGGUUGAUGGACACUUCAGAGAAAGCAGAACUACAUUCAACAGUACAAUUCAAGCAGGUGAUUGAAGAUCUGCUUUUAUUCUGCGGCUCUAUUGAACUGCUGCUGUUUCUCAUAGAUGCUGGAACAAAAGCUGUGCAGUGUUUGGUAUCAUGUAACCGCACAGGUAUAGUGGGAAACUAUAGUGGGUGAACUUUGUCUUCUUGUCUUAUAUUAUUCAUUAACAAGACUUAUUAUAUUAUUUUAAUAUUUAAUAUACUACAUUAUAUUAUAGACAACAUAAUAUUUAAAUAGACAAGAUAACUAAGGUAUUUGGAGAAAUAGAGGCUAAAUAUUGGCCACAUUCAACUUUUUUGAUGUAUUCCAAAUUACAUACACUAUCACUGCAUUCAAAGUUGCAUACUUCUCUAUUAUACAGAAUGCAAAAAAAACAGAA